rnacentral:tRNA from 1 species
GCGAGAGUGGCGGAAUAGGUAGACGCGAAGGUCUCAAACACCUUUGGCCUUUGGCCGUGUGGGUUCGAUUCCCAUUUCUCGCA